rnacentral:snRNA from 1 species
GCACUCACUUCGGCAGCACACGUGCUAAAAUUGGAACGAUACAGAGAUUAGCAAGGCCCCUGCACAAGGAUGACACGCAAAUUUGUGAAGUGGUCCAUGUUUUU